rnacentral:lncRNA from 1 species
CUGCAUUUUUUUUUUUGUGGUACACUGAGCAUUGGUCUCAAAUAAGCUAUUAAGACAUCCUGAUUCCGUUGUACAAGUAGCAGUUGUUUCUUGUCUUAGCAAAAUAUUUCGCAUUACAGCAUCUGAUCUCCCAUUUUGUAAUGAAUUAAUGCAAGAUAUCUUUUUAGUGAUUAUAUCAUCAUUUGCAUCUCUCAUGGGCAUCUCCAUCAAUUCGUAUGCUAUAGUAGUCUGGCUACUAGAUACUGUGGCUAAUGUGAAGUACUUUCUUAUCAUGUUGGACAUAGAUUGUGAGCAGAUGAUAAUUGAUAUGUUCCAACACUUUCUUUUAGCUUUAACAUGAACUCAUUUAGGGAAUGUCUUCACUUCCACAGAGAUUAUUAUGCCCCUUACAUUGGAAGAAAUUGACAAUAGCCUAAUAAACUUGAUUACCCUUCUUUUGGAUUGUGCUCAAAAUAAAAAUAAGAAAGCUUCUCCUAGUGCAUUUAAUGCAGUGGAAAGACUUUUUUGAGAAGUGUGCUGACAAGAUCAAACGCUACUUUUCACGAGCUCUAAAAUAUUUAGGGGUUUUUUUAGAUAAUUAUAGUGCGGUUAUUUCUUCCAUCUUCACAGAAGUUGAGAGUUGUGAACAGUGUAUUGUGUCUUCUAUUUUGACCACAUCUAUAAUGGAUAAACUUAACAUUAACAUAAUUGAGAAAGUACCUAGAGCAAUGCCAUCGAGGUCAAGCAUUUCAGAUGUCCUGGAUCUCAUGCCUACUAUGAUGCAUGACUUUCACGUUGACUUUGUUUUAGUUCUUCCUCAAUUACAUGAGAUUUCAAAGGUUGCCACAUUGUUCUUUAAGGUCAUUACUCGAUUGCACUCUUCCUAUUGACGUUAGGAUGUUGCCCACUAAUUAUCGACACGUUGUGCUAGCUCAUCAUUAUGUUGAAAUAUUCCUAAAUUUCAUACCAAGUUAAACGGUCAAAUCAUUUCCAAUCAUGAAAGUUUUCGAUGUGCAAUAUAAAUUAGAGUAUUCGUAUAAAGGUUUUUUAUCUGACUGGACAUCUCACUUAAAUGAAAGUUAUAUCUUCAAUAUAGAAGAAUUGUUUCCUAAUCAAGGCAUAUUCGAGCUUUCGAUGUUGUAAUCUUUUGUCUCUACAGGCUAGUCUCCAAUGCUAGCUUCUUGUGCUUCUCAAUAUGCACAACCAUGGGAAGAUUUUGGAGAUGGGCUACAUGAGUGUUUGUUAUUUGGAGUCCAAUAUCAAUACUUGAUUAAAAGGAGAGAUUGCCCUCCUUGGUUGAAUCAUAUUCCUGAGGAUAAGUUUUCAUUUACAUUGUUAUCAACCGUUGAGUUUCGAUACUUGGUUCUUCAGAAGGAUCGUACACUGUGGUUUGAGUUCAGAAACUUAACUUGGACAUUGACAAUAGCUCUUUCAUGAUUUAUCCUCAAGUUUUUCUUCCACCCUAGGAGAAUUGAUAAGGGCAUCACCCUAGUUGGCUAUCUUAUUUUGUUUUGGACUAUUUAACUUUUGCUUUAUUAAUUGGGUUUGUAUUAUUGGCUGGCCCAAGCCCCAUAACCAUUAGGUUUAUUUUUAUUAUUUAUAUGCUUGUAUAGAACCUGGUGUUAAUCCAAAAAUAAACCCAACUAAUAAAGCAAAAGUUAAAAGAGUAAUAUGUCGUGGGAUCAUGCAAACAUUAAAGUUGGGAAUUCGAUUUGAAUUUUCACUUUAAGGUUCACUUUUACUUGUCUGAUUCUGAAAAUUUCCAUGUUAGAUCUUCUUUCAUUUUCUUUCUUAUUGUCUGCUCAGAAAAAAAUUUCAUUCAAGGUCACUGCAGAUUUGAGUAAACCUGCAAACAGGGACCAUACCAUUUUGAUGAAUGGAAGCACAUAGCAAUCAUUUGUAUCCUCUGUCUCCCUUUAUCUUUCUAUAUCCUUCCCUAUAUCCAAGACCUUUGCAGGUAGCCAUUAUUUUGUAAAUGAUAGAAUUCAAUUUGUACGAACAAAUUAGCACCAGAGUCGAGCCUUCCAAUGAGUUUAGCUGUCCAUUUCUUAAUACCAUUUCUCUUGCAGAGAUUCAUGUUUACAACAACCUGGUGCUCCAGCCACAAAGGUUUUGUGUCCAACGGAAGUGGUUACCCCGGAUGAGCUCAGGGACAAUGAAGAUUAUGGGGACGUAUUAGAAGACAUGAGAACAAAAUGUGAGAUAAAUACAUUUAAGCUGCCUUUGAACCUCUAUCAGUUAUUUGUUGUUUUUUAUUUGAUUGACUAGUUAAUCUUCCUACAUAUGUAUUGAUUCUUAUAUGCUAUUUUGAUGUAUUACAGCCUUUUCUAGUUCGACAUAAUGAUCAGCAGAGUUGCC